rnacentral:rRNA from 1 species
CCACGGCUAAUUCCGUGCCAGCAGCCGCGGUAAUACGGGAGUGGCAAGCGUUAUCCGGAAUUAUUGGGCGUAAAGCGUCCGCAGGCGGCCCUACAAGUCUGCUGUUAAAAAGUGGAGCUUAACUCCAUCAUGGCAGUGGAAACUGUUGGGCUUGAGUGUGGUAGGGGCAGAGGGAAUUCCCGGUGUAGCGGUGAAAUGCGUAGAUAUCGGGAAGAACACCAGUGGCGAAGGCGCUCUGCUGGGCCAUCACUGACGCUCAUGGACGAAAGCCAGGGGAGCGAAAGGGAUUAGAUACCCCUGUAGUCCUGGCCGUAAACGAUGAACACUAGGUGUCGGGGGAAUCGACCCCUCCGGUGUCGUAGCCAACGCGUUAAGUGUUCCGCCUGGGAAA